rnacentral:tRNA from 1 species
GUCAGGAUAGACUCAGUUGGUAGAG